CCUACGGGAGGCAGCAGUGGGGAAUAUUGCACAAUGGGGGAAACCCUGAUGCAGCGACGCCGCGUGAGUGAAGAAGUAUUUCGGUAUGUAAAGCUCUAUCAGCAGGGAAGAAAAUGACGGUACCUGAUUAAGAAGCCCCGGCUAACUACGUGCCAGCAGCCGCGGUAAUACGUAGGGGGCACGCGUUAUCCGGAUUUACUGGGUGUAAAGGGAGCGUAGACGGUGGUGCAAGUCAGCAGUGAAAGCCCGGGGCUUAACCCCGGGACUGCUUUGGAAACUGUGUGACUUGAGUGCAGGAGAGGUAAGUGGAAUUCCUGGUGUAGCGGUGAAAUGCGUAGAGAUUAGGAGGAACACCAGUGGCGAAGGCGGCUUACUGGACUGUAACUGACGUUGAGGCUCGAAAGCGUGGGGAGCAAACAGGAUUAGAUACCCUGGUAGUC
rnacentral:rRNA from 1 species